GAAGGUGGGGAUGACGUCAAGUCAUCAUGGCCCUUACGACCAGGGCUACACACGUGCUACAAUGGCGCAUACAAAGAGAAGCGACCUCGCGAGAGCAAGCGGACCUCAUAAAGUGCGUCGUAGUCCGGAUUGGAGUCUGCAACUCGACUCCAUGAAGUCGGAAUCGCUAGUAAUCGUGGAUCAGAAUGCCACGGUGAAUACGUUCCCGGGCCUUGUACACACCGCCCGUCACACCAUGGGAGUGGGUUGCAAAAGAAGUAGGUAGCUUAACCUUCGGGAGGGCGCUUACCACUUUGUGAUUCAUGACUGGGGUGAAGUCGUAACAAGGUAACCGUAGGGGAACCUGCGGUUGGAUCACCUCCUU
rnacentral:rRNA from 1 species